rnacentral:rRNA from 1 species
UACGUAGGUGGCAAGCGUUGUCCGGAUUUACUGGGCGUAAAGAGCGCGCAGGCGGUCGAUCAAGUCGCGUGUGAAAGCCCCCCGGCUCAACUGGGGAGGGUCACGCGAUACUGAUCGACUCGAAGGCAGGAGAGGGUAGUGGAAUUCCCGGUGUAGUGGUGAAAUGCGUAGAGAUCGGCAGGAACACCCGUGGCGGAAGCGG